CAGGGUCUCCUGCCUCGCUUACUCAGCCGCCACGUGGUGGCCGGGUGAGGGCCUCGGGGCGGCAU
rnacentral:pre_miRNA from 1 species